rnacentral:rRNA from 1 species
CAGUCGCCACGGUAAUACGUAGGUGGCAAGCGUUGUCCGGAAUUAUUGGGCGUAAAGGGCUCGCAGGCGGUUUCUUAAGUCUGAUGUGAAAGCCCCCGGCUCAACCGGGGAGGGUCAUUGGAAACUGGGAAACUUGAGUGCAGAAGAGGAGAGUGGAAUUCCACGUGUAGCGGUGAAAUGCGUAGAGAUGUGGAGGAACACCGGUGGCGAAGGCGACUCUCUGGUCUGUAACUGACGCUGAGGAGCGAAAGCGUGGGGAGCAAACAGGAUUAGAUACCCCAGUAGUCCCUGUCUCUUAUAC